UAUAAUCAAUCUCCUCCCAUCCACAUCACUGCUGCUCAAGACUGAGAACAACCUCCCCUGCUGAGCAGUGCCCAGUAGGAGAAAGUGCACAGCUCCAGGGUAGUUUUCCCAAAAGCUAUGUCAAUGGGAUCUCUUCUUCUCUCAAACUGAGGAUGUUUCAGAAGUGGAGGAAAAAGAGGAAGAGGAGUACUCUGCUUAAGGUGGCUUUUUAAAAAUCUUAUUCUGCAGAGGUCUUCCUGUUGGUGGAUUAUUACCAGUGAACAAGAAAAUCUGCAACUUAAAAAAUGCCUUGCAAAAAUGAAGCAUGGCAUUGAUAGAAAUGCAUGGAAGCCACAGAGACUAUUUUAAAUUACAUAAAGAUCUAUCUGUUUUAUUUGAACUGUUACUUCUGACCUGAACUAGUUCUACGCAGAAAAAAAAGUAUGUAGGUCCAGUUCUAUGCAGAAAAAAAGGAUGCCAGCCUACAACACUGUGACAUCUGAAAGGGAAGGCAAAUCAUAAACAAGCAGCAGACUCACACAGCUUGUGGAUGACCUAUCACUACGAUCCUGGAAGUAACUUAAGAGGUCCAGAUAAUUUAUCCCUGGCUGAUCAUUUCAAGACUGUUUCAUGUCUGGAUGAUUGUUCCUACGAUCUCAGUUUUCCCCACUAUAUGUACUCAGAAUAUCCCCUCUCUUUUUCUCCCAUUAUAGCUGUCUGGAAAAUAGAAAAUAGCUCAAUUUCUUCUAUUACUAUAUCCUAUUAUAAAGGAGAAGAAAUUAAAUGGAGCAAAAAGACAAUUCCUUUUACUGUGUUAACCUGAAAGACACUUUUACAGUAUAUAUUAAUUCAUACCUACCUGUAAUACAACUCUACAUACAUAUAUAGCAAUUUCAAAUAAUACAGCAACUUUUAAGAAUGUAUAUUAGUACAGCAUCUUAAUUUAUUUCUUAUGAUUUAUAGGAAAGUAUUAAACUGAAUUCCCACUGAAGCAGAAACCAGCAGUUAUUCCCUUGGAAUGAAUGGAAGACAAAUUGUGUUUUGUCAUCAAGCUGAGGUAACAUACCACAUAAUUUUAUUAUUUCCUGUCUUCUGCUUCUGUCCCCAUAACUUGUCCCUUUUAAUAUCCUAUAUAUCAGCUCAGCUGGGAAAAUUCAAAUCCAAAGGAAUUUUUGGACCUGGGACUCAAACUGGGUCUUUUCUACUCUGAGUUCUGAAGCAUAAAAUACUCCAUCAAGGGACACAAGUUUUGAUGCCAUAAAACCCAUAAACUCUCACAUCUAAAAACUUUCUCACACAGUUUUCUCACUCUUCAGCAGUAUGGUUAUCAUCUUCAACAUUGGUAUCCCAAUUGCUGAGAUUUUGGCUGUUCUGCAGACCUUUUCUCCCUUCAUGCAUUUUAAUAAUGUGUGGUAUGGAGCUGGUCUCAAAUUGCCAUUUUCUUGCAAUAUAUAGAAAGAUUAAUACCUCAAUUUAUUAUAAAAACAUCUCUGGCAUUAUAGUUAUUACAUUUUGAAUUGUAGCAACAGUGUAUUUGUGGCGUUUUCAAUCAGCAUGUAGGGUGAUAAAAAAUUGAUGGUUCAGUCACCGAGUAAUAUAAUUUGUUCAUUUCUCACUUUAUUGAAAAUAAGCUUGAAUUUCUAUUAGAAUUGUAGUGGUAAUAGCUGUUGGAAGUACGUGUAACCGUGACAUCUACACUUAAUGCAUGAAAUUGUUUCUGUAUUAUAAAAACAUGAUUACCUUGUUUUGCUACUGCAGUGCGGGUUAUCUGAGUACAAAGCUGUGAUUCAGUUAAAUAUACUGUUGUCAGAAAUAAUUUCAGUUUGUCCUACAAUAUAUGAAAAUAAAAUUAUUGUCAGCAAGAAAAUUAUGAACUAUUUCACAGAAGAAAGACUAGUCUAAAGUAAAAUUGCAGAAUGAGAAACUCUACAGAAUAUCUGAAGGCAAGGAGAGGUAGCAAUUUGAGCAGGAACUAACAAUAUCGACACUGUUAUUAAAAAGAAAAUUAUAUUAUAACCAGAUGUAUUGUCAGAAAUAGCAGAUGGAAACCAAAUAAAUCACUGAAAUAAUUUAACUUAAUUCAAA